CAGCACCUCAAGUGGUCAGGAGGAUUAUUGGGCCUAAAGCAUCCGUAGCCGGCUCUGUAAGUUUUCGGUUAAAUCCAUGUGCUCAACGCAUGGGCUGCCGAAAAUACUGCAUAGCUAGGGAGUGGGAGAGGUAGACGGUACUCGGUAGGAAGGGGUAAAAUCCUUUGAUCUAUCGAUGACCACCUGUGGCGAAGGCGGUCUACCAGAACACGUUCGACGGUGAGGGAUGAAAGCUGGGGGAGCAAACCGGAUUAGAUACCCGGGUAGUCCCAGCUGUAAACGAUGCAGACUCGAUGAUGCAUUGGCAUAUAGCCAGUGCAGUGUCGCAGGGAAGCCGUUAAGUCUGCCGCCUGGGAAGUACGUACGCAAGUAUGAAACUUAAAGGAAUUGGCGGGGGAGCACCACAAGGGGUGAAGCCUGCGGUUCAAUUGGAGUCAACGCCAGAAAUCUUACCCGGAGAGACAGCAGAAUGAGGGUCAAGCUGAAGACUUUACCAGACAAGCUGAGAGGUGGUGCAUGGCCGUCGCCAGCUCGUGCCGUGAGAUGUCCUGUUAAGUCAGGUAACGAGCGAGAUCCUCGCCACUAGUUGCUAUCAUUAUUCUCAGGAAUAGUGGGGCGAAUUAGUGGGACUGCCGUUGU
rnacentral:rRNA from 1 species